GAUGAAGAACGUAGCGAACUGCGAUACUUGGUGUGAAUUGCAGAAUUCAGUGAAUCAUCGAAUCUUUGAACGCACAUUGCGCCCCUUGGUAUUCCAUGGGGCAUGCCUGUUCGAGCGUCAUUUGUACCCUCAAGCUUUGCUUGGUGUUGGGUGUUUGUCCCGCGUUGCGCGUGGACUCGCCUUAAAGCGAUUGGCAGCCGGCAUAUUGGCCUUGGAGCGCAGCACAUUUUGCGCUUCUAGUCAUGAAUGUUGGCGUCCAUUAAGCCUAUACAUUUGCUCUUGACCUCGGAUCAGGUAGGGAUACCCGCUGAACUUAAGCAUAUCAAUAAGCGGAGGA
rnacentral:misc_RNA from 1 species